GUCACUGGGGUGCACUAGUGGGUGGCUGUCACGCUGAGGAGCUCCGUCCCCCGCGAGCCCCCGGGACGCCCGGCGCUGCUUGUCAUGUUCCCGUGGGUCAGAGCAUUAGGAUUUGAUAUGGCAUCCUAAUAGCCCAGCAGGAAGGCUUGUCAGCGGGAUUUGUUACGGUGCCAGAAGAUGGUUUGAUUUACUAGCACAGCGAACAAAAUUGCUACGCGUGAGCUCUGCAGAGACUGAAAGGGAGAGAUGAGCCUUGGAAAGGUCAUCCACCAAAGUGGUCUGCAACAUCAAAAAAUUGAAAAUUAGUGUGUAGCUGCAGCUAAUGGACCUUAAUACAUCUUGAAUUGUCCUACUGGGAGCAGGAAACACUUGCAGAGGAUGGAUGAGGUCUUUAGAACUCCGUGCUACAGAACUUCAGUUCCAAAGCCAAGAAAUUAACGUUAACUUUGCAAACGUGAGCUACAGAGAACGACCACCAGCCAGGGGCCCACACCAAGCCAGCCACGAGCAGCUCCCGAGCUUGCUGAAAUCCCGGGAGCAGAGCAGGGAUGUUUCAGCUGCUGCAAUCAGAGGUUAUUAAUGCUGGGUGCCAGAGGCAAGGUGGUCAUGGUGGGAGGCUCAAGAUAGAAAAACACAGAAGAGAUACUCUUUUUAUGGUCUUUUUUUUUUUCUACUGCAAUGGAAAAAAAAACGCAACAGCACAAAUUGAUAUUCUGAUUAAACUGGAGGACACCUGCCUCUGGUAAUGAUGGAAUUAAGCAAAUUAUCUUUUUAUUGCACCAUUCUCAAGUCUUUAUAUAAUUCUCCUCAUGUCCUUCUUGUCAUUGCAGCAUCUGAAAACCUUUCCUUCAAACAGUGUCACUGAUUUCUCUUGGGGGUUUGUUUCUUUCCUUCUUUUUAGAGGGAAAGGUAUAAGUACAGGAGAGGCUUGGUGAGAAUAAUGCAGACUGUGCCGAUGGAGCCUGGAGGAGCAGCAGAGAACGCAGAGAAGAGACUUUGAGUGCUUUUGCUGUUUUCCAUGGGGAUGCCCUCAGAAAUGGCCUUUAUUUUCUCUAACUGGCGGGAUGAUUUUCCUGCCUGGGAAGAUGCAGGACCAGAAGUGCUGUGCGCUGAAGUCCCGUACUUAUCCGCGGGCCAGACAUCAUAGCAGUCUGUCGCAUCGCUCUGCUGAGCCUGGGCUCGGAGCUAAAGGGAGCAAACUGAACAGCCCGUGAUGGAUUGACUUCUGUUGGAUUCUUCAGGCAUCACCAUCAGUGUGAACUCCAUUUAAGUAACACCGUCAGAGACUUAAUUUAUUAUAUAAUUGAUAAGAAAUAUCACCUAGGAAGCCUAGACAAUGAAAGUGACUUCUACAGGAAAUAUUUCGCUAAGAGACAGCGACACGGGAAUGCACUGGAGGCAGAAAAUUGACUUAUGAAAUAAAUAGGCAUGAAAGCCAAAUGGAGACCUGAACAAGAGAUGAGUCUGAGGACAUGGCACCAAUGCUGGUCACAAAUGUCACCAUGCCAAGACAGCAUUGCACUGAGGUUUGCAGGACGAUGAAGAGUUGGAACUUGUAACCUCGAUGAUUCUCCAUCUCACCCUUAUAUUGGGGAAUAAAUUCAGGUCAGCAUUACCUCAUUUACUGCUGAAAUACCUUGCUGCAUUGUAGAGUACCUAAAAGUCUCUUUCAUAAGGAUCUAACAGCUGCCUGGGAAAUGUUAUUAUAAGGUAUGGGCUCUUUUCCCCUCACUGGGGGAAAUUCCUGCCAAAUGCUAUGUUCAGA